rnacentral:rRNA from 1 species
GAUGAACGCUAGCGGGAGGCUUAACACAUGCAAGUCGAGCGGGAUCCACCUUCGGGUGGUGAGAGCGGCGCACGGGUGCGUAACGCGUAUGCAACCUACCUUGUACAGGGGGAUAGCCCAGUGGAAACGUGGAUUAAUACCCCAUAGUAUUGUGAGAUCGCAUGGUUUUACAAUUAAAAAUUACGGGUGGUACAAGAUGGGCAUGCGUAGGAUUAGCUAGUAGGUGAGGUAACGGCUCACCUAGGGCAACGAUCCUUAGGGGUUCUGAGAGGAUUAUCCCCCACACUGGUACUGAGACACGGACCAGACUCCUACGGGAGGCA